GCGCCCAUAGCUCAAUGGAUAGAGUGCCAGCCUGCGGAGCUGGAGAUCCAAGUUCGAUUCUUGGUGGGCGCG
rnacentral:tRNA from 1 species